UUAAGCGACUAAGCGUACACGGUGGAUGCCCUGGCAGUCAGAGGCGAUGAAGGACGUGCUAAUCUGCGAUAAGCGUCGGUAAGGUGAUAUGAACCGUUAUAACCGGCGAUUUCCGAAUGGGGAAACCCAGUGUGAUUCGUCACACUAUCAUUAACUGAAUCCAUAGGUUAAUGAGGCGAACCGGGGGAACUGAAACAUCUAAGUACCCCGAGGAAAAGAAAUCAACCGAGAUUCCCCCAGUAGCGGCGAGCGAACGGGGAGCAGCCCAGAGCCUGAAUCAGUGUGUGUGUUAGUGGAAGCGUCUGGAAAGGCGCGCGAUACAGGGUGACAGCCCCGUACACAAAAAUGCACAUGCUGUGAGCUCGAUGAGUAGGGCGGGACACGUGGUAUCCUGUCUGAAUAUGGGGGGACCAUCCUCCAAGGCUAAAUACUCCUGACUGACCGAUAGUGAACCAGUACCGUGAGGGAAAGGCGAAAAGAACCCCGGCGAGGGGAGUGAAAAAGAACCUGAAACCGUGUACGUACAAGCAGUGGGAGCACGCUUAGGCGUGUGACUGCGUACCUUUUGUAUAAUGGGUCAGCGACUUAUAUUCUGUAGCAAGGUUAACCGAAUAGGGGAGCCGAAGGGAAACCGAGUCUUAACUGGGCGUUAAGUUGCAGGGUAUAGACCCGAAACCCGGUGAUCUAGCCAUGGGCAGGUUGAAGGUUGGGUAACACUAACUGGAGGACCGAACCGACUAAUGUUGAAAAAUUAGCGGAUGACUUGUGGCUGGGGGUGAAAGGCCAAUCAAACCGGGAGAUAGCUGGUUCUCCCCGAAAGCUAUUUAGGUAGCGCCUCGUGAAUUCAUCUCCGGGGGUAGAGCACUGUUUCGGCAAGGGGGUCAUCCCGACUUACCAACCCGAUGCAAACUGCGAAUACCGGAGAAUGUUAUCACGGGAGACACACGGCGGGUGCUAACGUCCGUCGUGAAGAGGGAAACAACCCAGACCGCCAGCUAAGGUCCCAAAGUCAUGGUUAAGUGGGAAACGAUGUGGGAAGGCCCAGACAGCCAGGAUGUUGGCUUAGAAGCAGCCAUCAUUUAAAGAAAGCGUAAUAGCUCACUGGUCGAGUCGGCCUGCGCGGAAGAUGUAACGGGGCUAAACCAUGCACCGAAGCUGCGGCAGCGACGCUUAUGCGUUGUUGGGUAGGGGAGCGUUCUGUAAGCCUGUGAAGGUGUGCUGUGAGGCAUGCUGGAGGUAUCAGAAGUGCGAAUGCUGACAUAAGUAACGAUAAAGCGGGUGAAAAGCCCGCUCGCCGGAAGACCAAGGGUUCCUGUCCAACGUUAAUCGGGGCAGGGUGAGUCGACCCCUAAGGCGAGGCCGAAAGGCGUAGUCGAUGGGAAACAGGUUAAUAUUCCUGUACUUGGUGUUACUGCGAAGGGGGGACGGAGAAGGCUAUGUUGGCCGGGCGACGGUUGUCCCGGUUUAAGCGUGUAGGCUGGUUUUCCAGGCAAAUCCGGAAAAUCAAGGCUGAGGCGUGAUGACGAGGCACUACGGUGCUGAAGCAACAAAUGCCCUGCUUCCAGGAAAAGCCUCUAAGCAUCAGGUAACAUCAAAUCGUACCCCAAACCGACACAGGUGGUCAGGUAGAGAAUACCAAGGCGCUUGAGAGAACUCGGGUGAAGGAACUAGGCAAAAUGGUGCCGUAACUUCGGGAGAAGGCACGCUGAUAUGUAGGUGAAGUCCCUCGCGGAUGGAGCUGAAAUCAGUCGAAGAUACCAGCUGGCUGCAACUGUUUAUUAAAAACACAGCACUGUGCAAACACGAAAGUGGACGUAUACGGUGUGACGCCUGCCCGGUGCCGGAAGGUUAAUUGAUGGGGUUAGCGGUAACGCGAAGCUCUUGAUCGAAGCCCCGGUAAACGGCGGCCGUAACUAUAACGGUCCUAAGGUAGCGAAAUUCCUUGUCGGGUAAGUUCCGACCUGCACGAAUGGCGUAAUGAUGGCCAGGCUGUCUCCACCCGAGACUCAGUGAAAUUGAACUCGCUGUGAAGAUGCAGUGUACCCGCGGCAAGACGGAAAGACCCCGUGAACCUUUACUAUAGCUUGACACUGAACAUUGAGCCUUGAUGUGUAGGAUAGGUGGGAGGCUUUGAAGUGUGGACGCCAGUCUGCAUGGAGCCGACCUUGAAAUACCACCCUUUAAUGUUUGAUGUUCUAACGUUGACCCGUAAUCCGGGUUGCGGACAGUGUCUGGUGGGUAGUUUGACUGGGGCGGUCUCCUCCUAAAGAGUAACGGAGGAGCACGAAGGUUGGCUAAUCCUGGUCGGACAUCAGGAGGUUAGUGCAAUGGCAUAAGCCAGCUUGACUGCGAGCGUGACGGCGCGAGCAGGUGCGAAAGCAGGUCAUAGUGAUCCGGUGGUUCUGAAUGGAAGGGCCAUCGCUCAACGGAUAAAAGGUACUCCGGGGAUAACAGGCUGAUACCGCCCAAGAGUUCAUAUCGACGGCGGUGUUUGGCACCUCGAUGUCGGCUCAUCACAUCCUGGGGCUGAAGUAGGUCCCAAGGGUAUGGCUGUUCGCCAUUUAAAGUGGUACGCGAGCUGGGUUUAGAACGUCGUGAGACAGUUCGGUCCCUAUCUGCCGUGGGCGCUGGAGAACUGAGGGGGGCUGCUCCUAGUACGAGAGGACCGGAGUGGACGCAUCACUGGUGUUCGGGUUGUCAUGCCAAUGGCACUGCCCGGUAGCUAAAUGCGGAAGAGAUAAGUGCUGAAAGCAUCUAAGCACGAAACUUGCCCCGAGAUGAGUUCUCCCUGACUCCUUGAGAGUCCUGAAGGAACGUUGAAGACGACGACGUUGAUAGGCCGGGUGUGUAAGCGCAGCGAUGCGUUGAGCUAACCGGUACUAAUGAACCGUGAGGCUUAACCUU
rnacentral:rRNA from 1 species